AUUGAACGCUGGCGGCAGGCCUAAAACAUGCAAGUCGAGCGGUUGAAGGGAGCUUGCUCCCUGAUUCAGCGGCGGACGGGUGAGUAAUGCCUAGGAAUCUGCCUAUUAGUGGGGGACAACGUUUCGAAAGGAACGCUAAUACCGCAUACGUCCUACGGGAGAAAGCAGGGGACCUUCGGGCCCUGCGCUAAUAGAUGAGCAUAGGUCGGAUUAGGUUGUUGGUGAAGUAAUAGCUCACUAAGGCGACGAUCCGUAACUGGUCUGAGAGGAUGAUCAGUCACACUGGAACUGAGACACGGUCCAGACUCCUACGGGAGGCAGCAGUGGGGAAUAUUGGACAAUGGGCGAAAGCCUGAUCCAGCCAUGCCGCGUGUGUGAAGAAGGUCUUCGGAUUGUAAAGCACUUUAAGUUGGGAGGAAGGGUUGUAGAUUAAUACUCUGCAAUUUUGACGUUACCGACAGAAUAAGCACCGGCUAACUCUGUGCCAGCAGCCGCCGUAA
rnacentral:rRNA from 1 species